CACGGCGCACGGGUGCGUAACACGUGGGCAAUCUGCCCUCCGGUGGGGAAUAACCCCGCGAAAGCGGGGCUAAUUCCGCAUAACAUUCUCUGGACUCUGGUUCGGGGAUUCAAAGCAGCAAUGCGCCGAAGGAGGAGCCCGCGCCCGAUUAGCUAGUUGGUGAGGUAACGGCUCACCAAGGCAAUGAUCGGUAGCUGGUCUGAGAGGAUGGCCAGCCACACUGGAACUGAGACACGGUCCAGACUCCUACGGGAGGCAGCAGUGGGGAAUCUUGCGCAAUGGGCGAAAGCCUGACGCAGCGACGCCGCGUGGGGGAUGAAGCUUCUCGGAGUGUAAACCCCUUUCGACCGGGACGAAUGCCCGCAAGGGAGUGACGGUACCGGUAGAAGAAGCCCCGGCUAACUACGUGCCAGCAGCCGCGGUAAGACGUAGGGGGCCAGCGUUGUUCGGAAUUACUGGGUGUAAAGGGUUCGUAGGCGGUGUGGCAAGUCGGGAGUGAAAUUUCUGGGCUUAACCCAGAACCUGCUUCCGAAACUGCUGUGCUAGAGUGCGGGAGAGGCGCGUGGAAUUGCAGGUGUAGCGGUGAAAUGCGUAGAUAUCUGCAGGAACACCCGUGGCGAAAGCGGCGCGCUGGACCGUUACUGACGCUGAGGAACGAAAGCUAGGGGAGCAAACAGGAUUAGAUACCCUGGUAGUCCUAGCCCUAAACGAUCAGGACUUGGGGUGCCUUCCGUUCGGAAGUCGUCCCGGAGCUAACGCGUUAAGUCCUGCACCUGGGGAGUACGGUCGCAAGACUGAAACUCAAAGGAAUUGACGGGGGCCCGCACAAGCGGUGGAACAUGUGGUUCAAUUCGA
rnacentral:rRNA from 1 species